rnacentral:misc_RNA from 1 species
GGUCGAGAUCAGCUGGGGCCCCAGGCAUGGCGAGAAGGCGAAGGCGCCGACGAUGGCGAGGCAAGAUCGGAGAUGAAGGCGCGGUGUCUGACGGCUUGUAUGGUGAGGUAGAGAUCAACGGAGGAGCUCGACAACCGAAUAAGCAGGAGGGGACGCUGGCGCAGAGACAGCAAGGACAUGCUGACGCGAUGAGCAUGGACGACGGCGCUCGCUGCAGUCUAGCAAAAAGGACAUCGGCACCAGGAAGCCAACAAUUUGGGCGACCACGAGGUGAACGCGCUGGGGAGGUUGAGCAAGAAGAGAGCAUGACUAUUGCUUGUCUCCUUCCUAUGC